UGGGCCAAUGAGAAUGACUGGUGGCAUACGAGUCAUUUAUGAAGAAUAGUACAUGGCUGGAAGUCUGAGUCACAC